CGCGUAGGUGGCCAAUUAAGUCAAAUGUGAAAUCCCCGAGCUUAACUUGGGAAUUGCAUUCGAUACUGGUUUGGCUAGAGUAUGGGAGAGGAUGGUAGAAUUCCAGGUGUAGCGGUGAAAUGCGUAGAGAUCUGGAGGAAUACCGAUGGCGAAGGCAGCCAUCUGGCCUAAUACUGGACACUGAGGUGCGAAAGCAUGGGGAGCAAACA
rnacentral:rRNA from 1 species